ACUCAAAUGAAUUGACGGGGGCCCGCACAAGCGGUGGAUCAUGUGGUUUAAUUCGAAGCAACGCGAAGAACCUUACCUAGGUUUGACAUCCUCUGACAAUCCAAGAAAUUGGACUUCUAGCUUGCUAGCAGAGUGACAGGUGCUGCAUGGCUGUCGUCAGCUCGUGUGGUGACAUGUUGGGUUAAGUCCCGCAACGAGCGCAACCCCUGUUUUUAGUUGCCAGCAUUAAGUUGGGCACUCUAGAAAGACUGCCGUGGUUAACACGGAGGAAGGUGGGGAUGACGUCAAGUCCUCAUGGCCCUUACACCUAGGGCGACACACGUGAUACAAUGGCCGGUACAAAGGGAUGCCAAGAAGCAAUUCGGAGCAAACCCCAAAAAGCCGGUCUCAGUUCGGAUUGGAGUCUGCAAUUCGACUCCAUGAAGUUGGAAUCGCUAGUAAUCGCGGAUCAGCACGCCGCGGUGAAUACGUUCCCGGGCCUUGCACACACCGCCCGU
rnacentral:rRNA from 1 species